GACGAACGCUGGCGGCGUGCUUAACACAUGCAAGUCGAACGGAAAGGCCCCCUUGUGGGGUACUCGAGUGUCGAACGGGUGAGUAACACGUGAGUAACCUACCCUUGACUUUGGGAUAACUUCAGGAAACUGGGGCUAAUACCGGAUAGGAGCUCCUGCUGCAUGGUGGGGGUUGGAAAGUUUCGGCGGUUGGGGAUGGACUCGCGGCUUAUCAGCUUGUUGGUGGGGUAGUGGCUCACCAAGGCUUUGACGGGUAGCCGGCCUGAGAGGGUGACCGGCCACAUUGGGACUGAGAUACGGCCCAGACUCCUACGGGAGGCAGCAGUGGGGAAUAUUGCACAAUGGGCGGAAGCCUGAUGCAGCAACGCCGCGUGCGGGAUGACGGCCUUCGGGUUGUAAACCGCUUUCGCCUGUGACGAAGCGUGAGUGACGGUAAUGGGUAAAGAAGCACCGGCUAACUACGUG
rnacentral:rRNA from 1 species